AAUCGCUUGAACCCAGGAGGUGGAGGUUGCAGUGAGCUGAGAUCGUGCCACUGCACUUCAGACUGGGCAACAGAAUGAGACUCUGUUCCAAAAAAGAAAAAAAAAAAAAAGAUGCUUUACUGAAUCUAUAAACAUUGAUUCACUAACACUGAACUCAUGGCCAGCAGCCCUGUAGCUCUGCCCGAAGGAAGCUUCUCUAACCCGUGUUUCCUCUGUGAGAUGCACUGCAGCUUGCUUACCUUUUGCAGUUUUGUGUGUUUUGUUCGUGAUUUUGCUGUUUAAAAUGCCCCCAAGCACAAAGCUGAAGAGUAACCAAACAGUAACCAAAACUGUCUUUGGGUUUCCAUUUGUAUGGCAUAUUUUUAGAAAUCUUUUACUUUCAAACUAUUUGUGUCUUUGAAUCUAAAGUGUCUCUUGUAGACAGCAUAUAAUUAGAUAAUGUUUUUAAUCUGUUUGGACAAUUUCUGCAUUUUAACUGAAGUGCUUAAUCCACUUACUUAAAAAUGCCUCCAAGCACACAGCUCUUCAGCACUGGGCUUGGGGACGUUUUAAAAAGCAAAAUCACAAACAAAACACACGAAAUGCAAAAAUCAUGGCACUAAAUAGACCUCAAAAAGGAUACUGGUUGACCGCCUGAGGCUGAAACAAGAGGGCAUAGUGCUGCCUUGUUCAACCUCACCCAGGAAUAUGUGUAAGGAGACAAAUGUCUCGGCACUCUCUACACAUCUGUGAAUGACCAGGAAAACUCUGCAAUUAUUGAUUUGGGGUCACAAAUAAAUUUUUUUGGUAAUUUUUUUGUAGGGACGGGGUCUUGCUUGCUAUGUUGCCCAGGCUGGUCUUGAACUCCUAGGCUCAAGCGAUCCUCCCACCUUGGCCUCCAGAGGUGCUGGGAUUACAGGCGUGAGCCACCGUGCCCAGCCUACAAAUAAAUUUGACCAAGUAGGUGUCAUGGACUGAACUGAGUUCCCAAAAAAUUCCUGUGUUGAAGUACUAACCCCAGGACCUCAGAGUGUGACUGUAUUUGGAGAUAGGAUCUCUCAGGAAAUUAAGUUAAAAGGAGGUCAUUUGGGUGAGCCCUAAUGCAUGUGACUGGCUUCCUUAUAAGAAGAGGAAAUCAGCUGGGCGCGGUGGCUCACGCCUGUAAUCCCAACACUUUGGGAGGCCAAGGCGGGUGGAUCACGAGGUCAGGAGUUCAAGACCAGCCUGGACAACAUGGUGAAACCCCGUCUCUACUAAAAUACAAAAAAAUAGCCAGGCAUGGUGGCAUGCACCUGUAGUCCCAGCUACUCGGGAGGCUGAGGCAGGAGAAUCACUUGAACCCGGAAAACGGAGGCUGCAGUGAGCCGAGAUUGCACCACUGCACUCCUGCCUGGCGACAGAGUCUCACUCUGUCUUAAAAAAAAAAAAAAAAAAGAGGAGGAAAUCUGGACAAAUUCCAAAAAGAGACACCAAGAACACAUGCACACAGAGGAAAGUCCACAUGAGGGCACAACAAGAAGAGGCCCGUCUGCAAGCACAGGAAGGAACCGGCCCCACCGACCCUGCGAUCUUGGACUUCCAGGCUCCAGGACUGUGAGACAACAAAUGUCUGUUGUUUAAGCCAUCCAGUCUGUGGUCCCUGGCACACUGACAUCACAGGGAAUUCCCAAAUCUGGAAUGCAUGAGUCAUGAGGAUAGACUAUAUUUCUGUAAUCUUCACAUUAGCACAGUUUUAUUUCUUGUUCUAAACAUUUACUGAGUGGAAAUUUUCCAGUGAACUUCCAGUCAUGGGGCCACUCCCGACACUGCAGACGCAGCCACCUGCAUUGGCUUGGAGCGGCUUUGAAGGGCGGGUGCAGGUGCACUGGGGGAGGGGUUCUCAUCUCCAGCCCGUGGUUCAACAUAUUUCUGUGCUUAAACGAGAAAUUUCACAUAACAACAACAGCACUCACAAAGAAACCGAGCUGGAAGUAUUUCAGUUCUGUCAUUCUGCAUGACCUCUUGGUGUUUUUAUUCUGUGUUUCAAAUGUGAGACUGUGAAACCAGAGCGAAAACGGAGAUGUGGUGCUGAAGCUGAGAUGUUAGCUCAUGCAUGAAAGAAGUCACUGAAUUUGAAUAUCUUUAACAUUGAAAUGCAUUCUUUUUCUGUUAAUUGCUUUAAAGAAUGAAUCAAGAAAAUCAUGAUUAUCCGUGAUUAUUACAUAACUAUCCUGAAAAUAAUUUUGCGG
rnacentral:lncRNA from 1 species